GGCAGAAGUCACAACAGUAUAUGAACCUCUUGAACGUUGAAAUACUCGCGCCACAAUUAAUAUGUUGACAUCAUUUACUUAUGUUAUGGAAUAGAACGAUUUAGCAGAUUUUCAAUUUCCAGUUCAUAUCCACGCAGCCAAUUUUGAAA